GUGCUCGCUUCAGCAGCACGUAUACUAAAAUUGGAACAAUACAGAAAAGAUUAGCAUGGUCCCUGGGCAAGGAUAACAUGCAAAAUUGUGAAACAGUCCAUAUUUUU
ensembl:snRNA Gm24035 U6 spliceosomal RNA